AACUAAAACUCAAAGAGUUAAUGUAACCUGUCCAAGGACAUUUAAGGACUGAAGGCAGAAUGAAGACUCUCGGACUGGUUUUCUGACUCUGGACCUGUGCUGUCUUGUGGGCAAGUUGUUGAAAAAGUGGGAGAAGUGCAUCCCCAUGGCUUCAAAUGGCAUCCUGUUACUUCUAUAUCAUAAAGUGGUAUAAAGACUUCUAGCCAGCACCUGAGGCAGGUCUCUCACAGGCAAACCAGAGUGCCUGCAGAGAGCAAAGCCAUGAGGAGGGCAUCCCAAGUUGAAACCUAUAACAUGCAUACUGAAAGUGAAACGAAGAAGAUGGCCAGUGACAUGGCAUGGGGAGGAUCGUGAAGGGGGUUUUCAAAAGCAUGUUCACAGGGGUCAAGGCCUAUUCUGUUUAUUCCCUGCU